GUGACGAUGAUUGGGCAAUACUAGGGAUAUAAAACGGCCCUCUUAAAGGUACUGGAACUUUGUGCAUCUGGAUCUGAAUACUGCCUGGCUUAACGUUGAUGUGCGGUCAUCAAUACGUUUCAGAUGGAAAUUGGUGAUCUUGUGCUGCACUGGAUCUUGAGGUCUCGUGGCUCCUGAUAAUAUCCAGCCGAAUUCAGUGUUCUGAGCAACCGGAUACAUGGGUGACGAUUUAAUCAGUCCUGGUACAUUGAAUUCGGGGUCUGCUAAUUGCAAAUCCUUGAUGUGGUCCCAUUCAGCUUUCCGCAAGAUCGUUGACGGUAAUGGACUUGUGAUCUUUUUGGUUACUGGCGCUUGAGUUUACAUGCUGAACGAGUGGUUGCGCUUCGAUCCUGGCUCGAAUUCAACGAUAGACUUAAUGUUGCCUGUGGUAACACCUCCCAGACCACUAGUCGACGCAAUAACUGGUUGUUUCUGUAGCCCUAGAAACUGUACCACAUUUUCGCAAACGUAAGAUGCUGUACUAGCUUGAUCUAGAAGUGCCCGGAACGGAUAAAAGAGAUUGUCUCGUAAUGAUCGUAUCAGCACUAUUGCCGUUGCCAACAUAAUCGGUUCGUCCCACACAACACGA